rnacentral:lncRNA from 1 species
AAAGGUACCGUAAAAAGGUUAGUUGUGCAAAUCCCCCUUCUAAAUUCUUUGUCGAUAAAAAACAAAAAGUAAGUUAUAGUUUUACUAGGAUUUACUCCGUGGUACCAUAAUUUAUUAUAUUUGUUUGGUUAAUUAUUUUCGUAGUUGGUUUAUACGUGUUUAUUUUAUUUUAAUUUUAUAUAAUUUUAUGAAUUUGUAUUAUAAGUAGAUUCAUAGAUAUAUGUGGUCAACCCGCAAUACACCGCUGGACGAUUUUGUUAUAAAUAAAAAAUUAUAUUUUAACUAAACCCGUAAAAG